rnacentral:pre_miRNA from 1 species
UCUUAGUGAUGAACAAAGACGGUGGUUUCCUGAGAUGGAAUCUACUCCUGGUGAAGAUGCUGUGAA